rnacentral:guide_RNA from 1 species
ACACAAACAGACAACAGAAGUGAGAGAUAGAAUGAUGAUAU